GAUUUGGAUGCUGCAAAUGCUCGUGCACAAGGAGGGCAAAAUAUAUUAUCGCUCAUGGGCCAGAUGAUGAAACCUAGGAAGACUGAAAUUACCGAAAAGCUAUGACAAGAAAUUAACAAGGUUUUGCUACUCAUUCUUUGAAUGGAAUAUGGCCUUUAAUGUAAAUUCAUUAUUUUACGGUGCAUUUGGUUGCACAAAAUAUCAAGAAAUUUCAUGAUAUUCUGCAACAACUUAGACUGAUUAGGCAUGGAAUUUCAUGAUAUUUGGUGCACUCAAAUGCAGCCUUAGAUAUUUCGUUCAUCCUAUUUAGUCAAUUAGUACUGAGUCUGGUGGAGAUAUAUGUGUAGUGGGAUGGUGAAGUGUGUAAGCCUUGCUGAAAACAACCACAUGGUUGACAGCUGUUAACAGAUGAUAUAUUGACGAGGGGUAGUGGAGCUUGUCCCUGGAGUCCUAUUCAUUGAUGAGGUUCACAUGUUCGAUAUGGAAUGCUUUUCAUACCUUAAUCGUGCCCUUGAAAGCUCACUAUUACAAUAGUAAUUUUUGCUUCAAGCAGAGGAAUAUGCAAUGUUAGUGCUGUGUUCCUCGUUCUAUAUGGCAUUGCUUUGCCAACUGAGGGAUGGGGUGUUGUCUCUAGUUUGAAAAUAUAUCCACCUUUUGCUGGUGCUGCUGUAUCAGCAAUUACUCUUGCUGUGGCCUUUGGGUUUGUUGUAUCUCGUCCGUGCCUGACACUUAAGAUGAUGGAAGAUGCUGUGCAUUUUCUCAGUAAGGAAACUGUUGUUCAGGCAAUUGCUCGGUCUGCCAUUAAAGUGAUAGCUAUUAUGUUUCUCUCUUCUUAGCUACAAUAACCGACCGAGUGGACUUGCUGGUGGUGUUUAAAAGUUAAGACUGAUUCAAUCAAGAUGAGGUAGUUUCCGAGAUUAUUAUCUCAAGACAUUUCAACAGGAAGGGAGUACGACCUGUAACUUGACUGAAGCUAUUAGACAUCAUAGGGAUUUUUUGUUGAUGCAAAACUAUAAAUUUGGCUAAAUUUUUUGAGUUAAUUUAUGCUAGGUAGUUCACAGCUUUUACUAAGUUGUUGUGAGUGGUCUGCUUAGUAGAAUGCAUGUGAGAUGCUAUUUUCUUGAUGUUUUGUUUUCAUGUGUAGAUGAAGGAAUGGGUAUUGUAUGUUGGAACAAAAGGUUGCUGGUAUCCGGAAUGGGUAUUGUAUAAGUUGGGGCAGAGUUACUGUUUCAUGUGGUGGGUUGCAUAUCCAAGAGAAAUACAGUUGCACACAAGAAAACUCGUGUGCUUUUUUUUUUUUUUUCCUGCAUUCAUUGGUACUUCUGUUUUGCCAACAGUCUUCAUUGGAACUUUUGGCUUUCCAUUUCAUCAUCAUCACCAGGUUUAGUUUAAUCCACUGAUGGAUCUAAAACAGAUCAUCAUCAUCAUCAUCAUUGGGUUCAGCUUAAUCUACUGGCAGAUUUUUAUUUUUUUUUUAAAAGCUACCACCUUGGAAAUUUUGGUCCAUUUCAUACUUGAUUUAUGAAAGCUACCCA